GGCGAGCCUCCCAGGAUUCUCAAACAGAAGCAGCCUGCCAGGCUGAGCCAUCCAGAAGACCCCCUCCCUCUUCCCUGAGCUCUGUUUCUUCCAUGAGGUUGAAGAAAAAUGCCGUCGUGGUCCCCUGCCUGCUUACUCAGCGUGUCAAGCAGGAGUUCUCAGCUCCAGUGUGCCAUGGAGGGCCUUGGGAAGAGGUCACAUACCAUUCCCAUCCCCAGGUCAGGCUAGACUCCAGGCCAGGUUCCUCCACUGCCCUUGUGUUGACUACAGGAGAAACUUGAGCCAACACCUGACCUUGGGCUAGCUCCCUCCUCACAUCUGCUUUGGAGAUUCCAGUCUCCUCCUGCCCAGGGGCACAGGAGCACUGAGGACCCUUCUUGACCUCCUGGAUCAGAAAGGCAGAGGAAAUGCUGGGCAGAAGUCAAGGUGUCAGUGGGCUGCCCUCCCUCCGGAGGCUCCAGGGGAGAAUCUAUUCCUCGCCUCUUCCAAUUGCUGGUGGCUGAUGGCACACCUUGGCUUGUGGCCACAAUACUCCAAUUUCUGCCUCCAUGGUCACACUGACUUCAUUUCUUCUGUGUGCAUCAAAUUUCUCUCUGCUCUGUGAUUGCAUUUAGGGCCCCUGGAUCAGCAAUGUCAUAAAAGACCCCAGUUCUU
rnacentral:lncRNA from 1 species